UGGGGGAUAUUGCACAAUGGGGGAAACCCUGAUGCAGCAACGCCGCGUGAGGGAAGAAGGUUUUCGGAUUGUAAACCUCUGUCCUAAGUGAAGAAAAAAAUGACGGUAACUUAGGAGGAAGCUCCGGCUAACUACGUGCCAGCAGCCGCGGUAAUACGUAGGGAGCGAGCGUUGUCCGGAAUUACUGGGUGUAAAGGGUGCGUAGGCGGCCAAGUAAGUCAGGCGUGAAAUACAUGGGCUCAACCCAUGGGCUGCGCUUGAAACUGCAUGGCUUGAGUGAAGUAGAGGCAGGCGGAAUUCCCGGUGUAGCGGUGAAAUGCGUAGAGAUCGGGAGGAACACCAGUGGCGAAGGCGGCCUGCUGGGCUUUAACUGACGCUGAGGCACGAAAGCAUGGGUAGCAAACAGG
rnacentral:rRNA from 1 species